GCCGGGGUGCCCGAGCGGACCAAGGGGGUAGGCUCGAGAUCAUUUCCAGCGAGAAAGAGGGGCGACCUACUGCCUCUCCGAGGCACGCGGGUUCAAAUCCCGCCCCCGGCG
rnacentral:tRNA from 1 species